rnacentral:rRNA from 1 species
AGUCGAGCGGCGCACGAGUAGUUUCUACUUGGUGGCGAGCGGCGGACGGCUGAGUAACGCGUGGGAACGUGCCCCAAAGUGAGGAAUAACUGCCCGAAAGGGUAGCUAAUGCCGCAUAUGAUCUUCGGAUUAAAGUAUUUAUUACGCUUUGGGAGCGGCCUGCGUCCGAUUAGGUAGUUGGUGAGGUAAAGGCUCACCAAGCCCACGAUCGGUAGCUGGUCUGAGAGGAUGACCAGCCAGACUGGAACUGAGACACGGUCCAGACUCCUACGGGAGGCAGCAGUGAGGAAUCUUCCACAAUGGGGGAAACCCUGAUGGAGCAACUCCGCGUGCAGGAUGAAGGCCUUCGGGUCGUAAACUGCUUUUAUGAGUGAAGAAUAUGACGGUAACUCAUGAAUAAGGGUCGGCUAACUACGUGCCAGCAGCCGCGGUCAUACGUAGGACCCAAGCGUUAUCCGGAGUGACUGGGCGUAAAGAGUUGCGUAGGUGGUUAGUAAAGUGAAUAGUGAAAUCUGGCGGCUCAUCCGUACAGGCUAUUAUUCAAACUCACUAACUCGAGAAUGGUAGAGGUAACUGGAAUUUCUAGUGUAGGAGUGAAAUC